UACGUAGGUGGCAAGCGUUGUCCGGAAUUCUUGGGCGUAAAGCGCGCGCAGGCGGUCUUUUAAGUCUGAUGUGAAAGCCCACGGCUCAACCGUGGAGGGUCAUUGGAAACUGGGGGACUUGAGUGCAGGAGAGAAGAGUGGAAUUCCACGUGUAGCGGUGAAAUGCGUAGAGAUGUGGAGGAACACCAGUGGCGAAGGCGACUCUUUGGCCUGUAACUGACGCUGAGGCGCGAAAGCGUGGGGAGCAAACAGG
rnacentral:rRNA from 1 species